UUUGGUUUCCCUGCCUUAUAGCUCCAAAGCACAUUCAUGUCUUUGUACUGGGAUGGAUGAGUAGAAAGCAAAUGGCAGAGGACAUCUUCUAUUUGUGAACUAGAAUGACAAAAAUGAAGCCUGGAUGGCCUAAUCCCACCAAGGUGCAUACCUUCUUCCAGUUACUUAAGGACCUGUUAUUAGUCCUUACCUAACAUCUCACAAGAACACGUUCCUGGGGUCAAGCCUUUAAAACCCUCCAGAGGAUGACCAGCUAAAUGUCAGACAAUGAAUUAAGUACUUUUAAA
rnacentral:lncRNA from 1 species